rnacentral:rRNA from 1 species
AUUGAACGCUGGCGGCAGGCUUAACACAUGCAAGUCGAGCGGGGUGAUGGUGCUUGCACUAUCACUUAGCGGCGGACGGGUGAGUAAUGCUUAGGAAUCUGCCUAUUAGUGGGGGACAACAUCUCGAAAGGGAUGCUAAUACCGCAUACGUCCUACGGGAGAAAGCAGGGGAUCACUUGUGACCUUGCGCUAAUAGAUGAGCCUAAGUCGGAUUAGCUAGUUGGUGGGGUAAAGGCCUACCAAGGCGACGAUCUGUAGCGGGUCUGAGAGGAUGAUCCGCCACACUGGGACUGCGACACGGCCCAGACUCCUACGGGAGGCAGGAGUGGGGAAUAUUGGACAAUGGGGGGAACCCUGAUCCAGCCAUGCCGCGUGUGUGAAGAAGGCCUUAUGGUUGUAAAGCACUUUAAGCGAGGAGGAGGCUCUUUUGGUUAAUACCCAAGAUGAGUGGACGUUACUCGCAGAAUAAGCACCGGCUAACUCUGUGCCAGCCGCCGCGGUAA